AAAGCCGGCCAGAGAGGGUGAAAGCCCCGUAAGCGAAAGAUGAGUUGACAUGGCGGUAUCCAGAGUAGGUCGAGACACGUGGAACCUUGACUGAACAUGCGGGGACCACCCCGUAAGGCUAAAUACUCCUUAGUGACCGAUAGCGCAUAGUACUGUGAAGGAACGGUGAAAAGGACCCCGGGAGGGGAGUGAAACAGAACCUGAAACCAUAUGUUUACAAGCUGUGGAA
rnacentral:rRNA from 1 species